CUCGCGAGAGGCGCCAUCUUCCCGCGAGAGCCACGGGCCGCGCUGGUGGGGACGGCUGUCUCCUCUCGCGAGAUGGUUGACGGGGUCCGGUCAACUCAACUCAACUCAACUCAAACCAAGUCAAGUUCGGGCUGGCCCGGUGUCUCCCUCGCCAUUUCUCAUUCCCUUAGCCCAGGGCAGGGGAACCUUCCCCCAGGUAGGGGCGCUUCGGAAGGCAGGUGGCAUAACUUGGUGUCCCGCCCCAGAAGUGGCGAGAGGUCUCUGGUGUGUUUGACUGGCCUCCUCGUUGAGAGGCAGCCCGCAGCGCUGACCCCAGAGCCGGCCCAAAGCCAGGACGUAGCUAGCAAUGAUUUCAGUGUACUGACAUCUGAGAGAGACGUCUUUUGAAACAAUCCUUAAAGGAGUGCCACCAGCUUUGCAUUUUUCCACAUCCUGCUUCCCAAAUUGUCAUUUUUAGAAGUAAACUACAAAGAUUUAUUUACUGCUGCUUUUGAAAAGAUCAGAGGGCUAAAAAAUAGUGUGUUUUUCUUUGGCAGAACACUUUCUUCAGGUUGACUUUUAUUGUUUUCCUUGGACUGGAAAAUAGAUGCCAUAAGGGGGUAAAAUGACAUCAAAUAAAUUUUAAAGAAUAUCAGAAGAGGAGAUGCUACGUCUAAAUGCAUAUGAACCUGAAACAUUUUCUAUUUGUUUUACUGAACUGCUGACAAUCAUGUGAAAGAAGUUUCAUUUGUGGAAGUUUAAGUAUCUUCAGAAGACUUUAUACCAGGCAACUAACUGUAGAGAGAAGUCAAAGAUUAAGUAACAGUACUAACUCAUGGGAAAGGGAAAAAAAAAGAAUGUCUGAAUGUAUACACCACAUCUGAUAGGAAAAUACUUUAGAAGAAACAAAAGUAGCUUCUAGCAAAUGAACUGAAGAUAUUGCAGUGUCAGUGUAGAGGUUUCUGUCUGAAUUUUCAUUUAUGGAACUUACUGCGGAAAUCAGCAGAGGACUUUGCCCAGCAGGAAGCAUAAAAGUGCAUCCUAGGAUAAAAAUAGAACUGCACCUACUGGAGUGGAAGUCAAACCUGGAUGGGUCAUUUCCAUCUUGCAAAGAAAUGGAAUGGAUACAAAACCAAUUAGUCCUGACCUGUGCAGCUCUGAACACCUGCCAAACAUGCAGUCCUCCCUUGUACUGAAUUUUCUCAUGUUUCUGCAUGUGUGAUACCAAGUAUUUGCCAAAGGAAACUAAUGCUGCUGUGGAAAGGAAAUAAAA